AGCCUUUUGACAAAUUCUUUCCACACCUGACAACGGAAAAAGAUGAGCUCCCUAUGUACAGAGUGUACAGAUGGCGAAACCACCCUACCACUUACACCAACCGUCCUCCGCCUAGAAGGAGAGGAGAAGUAACAACGGAGACUCCGACUACAGAAGAACCAGAAGAUAGUCGAGGAGAUUUUAUCUUUGUUCCUGACGCUACACCAGUUUCAGACGGGCAUCCAUUCUUAGACAAGUUUGGGAAAAGACCAAGCAAGAUUUAUUAAUACUGUCUCAUUAAAGAAGUAA